GCCUGCAAAUAAAUGUACAAGGAAAGCAAGAGGCAGAAUAUGGAGGAAGAUGAGCCUGGAGAGAAAGGAUCAGACCUUGAUACAAGCAUUUCAUUGUCUGAGGGAUAAGUUAAGGAAGCACCGGCAAGGAAAGUGGGAAAAGGAGCAAGAAGGGAGAGUGGCUAACAACUGGGCAAACAGUUGUCCCCUGGGCAACCAGGGAACACUCAACAGCAAGCCAUGGAGUCACUGCACCUGAAGAUGAAAAAAGUCCUCAGAGGGAAACGUUUUGCUGAUGUGGAAGAGGUGAAACAAAAAAAGACAGAAGCACUAAAAGCAUCAAAAUUGAUGAGUUCAAAAACUGUUUUGAGCAAUGGAAAAAUAUCUCAAUAGGUUGUCAAAAACAUCUCCAUUGCACCUAAUGGAGAGUACUUGGACUGUGACUGAAGUUUAAACAUGUGAAA